GGGGGUGUAGCUCAGCUGGGAGAGCGGUAGCUUUGCAAGCUAUAGGUCGCAGGUUCGAUCCCUGUCAUCUCCACCA
rnacentral:tRNA from 1 species